ensembl:lncRNA
AAAAGUACGAGUUAUCAUCGAGCAGAAACGGGAGCUGGAAGCAUGUAAAUAUAAUAAUAACCACUGCAGCCAAGAAGAGUGCCUGACGAGCCCAGUUUGAACGGAGGACGUGCCAGUGGCCCUGGGACCUCAGGUGGUGGGUCGUUUUCACACUUUCUUUUGUACAGCACCGGGUGGGCUGCAGUGAUUUUCGUUUUGUGUGAUUUUCUUUUGGGUCCACGGCUGCUGUAUAUCCAGUCACGAUCGCACUGCUGAGUCCCUCCGCAGCUGAAGGAGACACUUUCUCCAACUCUCCUGGUCAAUGUUAAAUCAUCCUGAAUCAGCUGUUCUGCUGCCAUGGUAACCAGUGCUGUAGAGACACAGACAUAUAGAUGAAGGUUAGUGUGACAGUGUUUGUUACAGGUUGACUUUGUUGGCUCCUGAUUGGCUGGAAACACUCACCUGAACACAGACAGCACAGAGCAGCAGCUGGGAGGAAAAGCAUUUUGUGCAGUGGUGUUUCCUCUGGUGAACCUGGGGAGAAGUGGCGCUCUGAUGCAGCUGAGGCCAAACAAGGACGAGCUGUGAGAUCAGACGAGGGCCACGUGGUUUCUAACAGGUCCUCAAAGCUCCCAUCAGCCCCUGCGGCCCACAGAUAAGACUGCUGCUGCUG